rnacentral:lncRNA from 1 species
GAAGGAAGAAAAGGCUAGUACUCUUGAUUGUUGAUGAAAUGGAAGAUACUUCUGUGGUUGAAAUUCAGCGUUGUCUAGAAGGUUGAGUAUGCUGAAUGCAUGCAUGGUUGUGUUAAUCUGACUGUACGGAUAGAGGAUAUCUGCCAACAGUUUAAAGAGGUAUUGGGAGUUGGCAAAUUAUGGGUUGUUUAGGGUUUCUAUGAUAA